CUAUGUCUAAAAUAAAUAAAUUGAAUUUGUAAUAUAAUGUUUGGUUAAGUUUUUUAAUGAAAUAGAAGAUGAAAAAAACUGAUUUUUGUUGAAACUGAAAUACUACACAAUUUUUAUCAAACAUCAAGGUGUGCAUAAGGCUUGCUCAGUGCUGCACAUGGAAAAGCAUCAUCGUUUUAGUAACUGCAAUGAGUGCAGUAUGAUUUUGUGUGUUGUACAGAUUUCCCAUUGACUACCAACACACCUGAAGACAGCACAAUGCCUACGAAACUGAAGAUUUCUACACUAUAUAUUUCCAUCUUUAUUCCCGCUGUUGCAGUUCUGAUAAUUAUAACUGUCGUCGGCAUUGUCUGUUACAGAAAACGCAAAAGAUCAGAGUCUUUAACCCGGGGGGAAUCUGGAUCUGGAUAUUAUGCAAAUAUUAGCAGAGCAUCAUUAAGCCAAGUCAAAAGACAAGACGUGAGCACAAACCAAGACAGCAAACAAGUUUCUCACUCUAAGGUUAUUGAUGACCCGGUCUAUAUUAACCUCCAGCUUCCCUCAUGUCAGACGUUUCAAACGGCAAAUCCAGUAGACAAUAUAUAUGGAAAUGUAGAUUAUUCACAGUAACAGGAAAGCUACUGGACAUCGUAUGGUCCAUUGGUACUUAAACAGUGCCAGAGGGGCGGAGGUUAUGAAAUCUUAUUUGUCUGUUUGCAAAAAGGAAAGAUAUCUCCAAAAAAUGAUGAAUGGAUUUUCAUGAUGUGCCCGAGGAUGAGAACAGCUGAGGUGAUCCAGCUCUGCCUCAGAUUUAUACAUUUUAGAGUGCAUCUGAGAAGUAUUCAUGGCACUUUAAUUUUUCCACAUUUUUUAAUGUUACAGCCUUAUUUUUAAAUGGAGUAAAGUAAAUAAUUUUCACCUCAAACUUCUACACACAAUACCCCAUAAUGACAAAGUGGGA